GAUGAACGCUGGCGGCGUGCUUAACACAUGCAAGUCGAACGGAAAGGCCAGUGCUUGCUCUGGUUAUCGAGUGGCGAACGGGUGAGUAACACGUAGGCGACCUGAUCUGCACUUCGGGAUAAGCCUAGGUAGGUGGGUUUACUCCCAGAUAGCAUAAUGGCUUGGAUGGCGUUGGGGAGAGUUUUGUCGGUGUGGGAUGAGCUCGGGGCCUAUUAGCUUGUUGGGGGGGGAAUGGCCUACCAAGUCGACGACGGGUAGCCGGCGGGAGAGGGUGGACGGCCACAUUGGGACGGUGAGACGGGCCAGAGUCGUACGGGAGGGAGGAGGGGGGAAUAUUGGACAAUGGGCGCAAGCCUGAGGCAGCGACGCCGCGGGGUGGAUGACGGCCUUUGGGGUGUAAACACCUUUGGCGAGGGACGAAGCGUAGUUGUGACGGUACCUGGAGAAGAAGCACCGGCUAACUACGUG
rnacentral:rRNA from 1 species